rnacentral:rRNA from 1 species
GGCUCAUUAAAUCAGUUAUAAUUUAUUUGAUAUUCACUUACUACUUGGAUAACCGUGGUAAUUCUAGAGCUAAUACAUGCGUACAUAACCUCGACUUCUGGAAGAGGUGCACUUAUUAGAUAAAAAGCCAACGCGGGCAACCGCUUGUAUGGUGAUUCAUAAUAAUUAAUCGAAUCGCAUGGCCUUGUGCCGGCGAUGAUGCAUUCAAAUUUCUGCCCUAUCAAGUUUCGAUGGUAGGUUAGUGGCCUACCAUGCUUUUAACGGGUAACGGGGAAUUAGGGUUCGAUUCCGGAGAGGGAGCCUGAGAAACGGCUACCACAUCCAAGGAAGGCAGCAGGCGCGCAAAUUACCCAAUCCCGACACGGGGAGGUAGUGACAAUAAAUAACAAUACAGGGCCUUUACGGGUCUUGUAAUUGGAAUGAGUACAAUUUAAAUCCCUUAACGAGGAACAAUUGGAGGGCAAGUCUGGUGCCAGCAGCCGCGGUAAUUCCAGCUCCAAUAGCGUAUAUUAAAGUUGUUGCAGUUAAAAAGCUCGUAGUUGAAUUUUGGCCUUGGUUUGUGAGGUUCGGCCUUCACUGGUCGGUACCUUUACGAACCGGGCUCCACCUUCUGGGUUAGCCAGUUGUUACUUCGGUGCAGCUGGUGAACCAGAACUUUUA